rnacentral:rRNA from 1 species
UUCUGACCGUAAACGAUGCCAUCUCGCGAUUCGGAGGGUUUUUGCCCUGCCGAGGAGCUAUCCGGAAACGAAAGUCUUUCGGUUCCGGGGGUAGUAUGGUUGCAAAGCUGAAACUUAAAGAAAUUGACGGAAGGGCACCACAAGGCGUGGAGCUUGCGGCUUAAUUUGACUCAACACGGGAAAACUCACCCGGUCCGGACACCAUUAGGACUGACAGAUUGAAAGCUCUUUCUCGAUUUGGUGGUUGGUGGUGCAUGGCCGUUCUUAGUUGGUGGAGUGAUUUGUCUGGUUUAUUCCGAUAACGAGCGAGACUCUAGCCUGCUAAAUAGUUGGCGAAUCUUCGGGUUCGUAUAACUUCUUAGAGGGAUAAGCGGUGUUUAGCCGCACGAGAUUGAGCGAUAACAGGUCUGUGAUGCCCUUAGAUGUCCGGGGCUGCACGCGUGCUACACUGGUGGAGUCAACGGGUUUUUCCUAUGCCGAAAGGUAUCGGUAAACCGUUGAAAUUCUUCCAUGUCCGGGAUAGGGUAUUGUAAUUAUUGCCCUUAAACGAGGAAUGCCUAGUAAGUGUGAGUCAUCAGCUCACGUUG